rnacentral:rRNA from 1 species
UACAGAGGGUGCAAGCGUUAAUCGGAAUUACUGGGCGUAAAGGGCGCGUAGGUGGUUGUAUAAGUUGGAUGUGAAAUCCCUGGGCUUAACCUAGGAACUGCAUCUAAGACUGUAUGACUGGAGUAUGAUAGAGGGUAGUGGAAUUUCCGGUGUAGCGGUGAAAUGCGUAGAUAUCGGAAGGAACACCAGUGGCGAAGGCGGCUACCUGGAUCAAUACUGACACUGAGGCGCGAGAGCGUGGGUAGCAAACAGG